GAUGAACGCUGGCGGCGUGCCUAAUACAUGCAAGUCGAGCGAACAGACGAGGAGCUUGCUCCUCUGACGUUAGCGGCGGACGGGUGAGUAACACGUGGAUAACCUACCUAUAAGACUGGGAUAACUUCGGGAAACCGGAGCUAAUACCGGAUAAUAUAUUGAACCGCAUGGUUCAAUAGUGAAAGACGGUUUUGCUGUCACUUAUAGAUGGAUCCGCGCCGCAUUAGCUAGUUGGUAAGGUAACGGCUUACCAAGGCAACGAUGCGUAGCCGACCUGAGAGGGUGAUCGGCCACACUGGAACUGAGACACGGUCCAGACUCCUAAGGGAGGCAGCAGUAGGGAAUCUUCCGCAAUGGGCGAAAGCCUGACGGAGCAACGCCGCGUGAGUGAUGAAGGUCUUCGGAUCGUAAAACUCUGUUAUUAGGGAAGAACAAAUGUGUAAGUAACUAUGCACGUCUUGACGGUACCUAAUCAGAAAGCCACGGAUAACUACGUG
rnacentral:rRNA from 1 species